rnacentral:rRNA from 1 species
GACGAACGCUGGCGGCGUGCUUAACACAUGCAAGUCGAACGGAAAGGCCCUGCUUUUGUGGGGUUCUCGAGUGGCGAACGGGUGAGUAACACGUGAGUAACCUGCCCUUGACUUUGGGAUAACUUCAGGAAACUGGGGCUAAUACCGGAUAGUAGCUCCUGCUGCAUGGUGGGGGUUGGAAAGUUUCGGCGGUUGGGGAUGGACUCGCGGCUUAUCAGCUUGUUGGUGGGGUAGUGGUUUACCAAGGCUUUGCCGGGUAGCCGGCCUGGGAGGGUGACCGGGCACAAUGGGACUGCGGUACGGACCAGACUCCUACGGGAGGCAGCAGUGGGGAAUAUUGCACAAUGGGCGGAAGCGUGAUGAGGAAACGCCGCGGGCGGGAAGACGGCCUUCGGGUUGUAAACCGCUUUCGCCUGUGACGAAGCGUGAGUGACGGUAAUGGGUAAAGAAGCACCGGCUAACUACGUG